GACGAACGCUGGCGGCGUGCCUAAUACAUGCAAGUAGAACGCUGAAGGAGGAGCUUGCUUCUCUGGAUGAGUUGCGAACGGGUGAGUAACGCGUAGGUAACCUGCCUGGUAGCGGGGGAUAACUAUUGGAAACGAUAGCUAAUACCGCAUAAUAGUAGAUGUUGCAUGACAUUUACUUAAAAGGUGCAAUUGCAUCACUACCAGAUGGACCUGCGUUGUAUUAGCUAGUUGGUGGGGUAACGGCUCACCAAGGCGACGAUACAUAGCCGACCUGAGAGGGUGAUCGGCCACACUGGGACUGAGACACGGCCCAGACUCCUACGGGAGGCAGCAGUAGGGAAUCUUCGGCAAUGGACGAAAGUCUGACCGAGCAACGCCGCGUGAGUGAAGAAGGUUUUCGGAUCGUAAAGCUCUGUUGUAAGAGAAGAACGAGUGUGAGAGUGGAAAGUUCACACUGUGACGGUAUCUUACCAGAAAGGGACGGCUAACUACGU
rnacentral:rRNA from 1 species